rnacentral:rRNA from 1 species
UUCCAGCUCUGAUAGCGUAUAUUAAAGUUGUUGCAGUUAAAAAGCUCGUAGUUGCAGUUUAGGAUUUCGCUUUUAUGGUCGGCUGUGAUAAACAGUUUUGUACUGUAGAGGCAAUCCUUUCCUACUGGUUACUCGACUCUGUCCUUUACUGGAUGGAGUAGUGUCACAAGGCAUCGUUUUGCAUGAUAUUGCUUUUCAUCGUAGUUUUUGGGUAAAACUGAAAGUGAAAGUGAAGGGAUCACAGUAUUGUGUAAAAUGGGGUUCCAGUUCAUUUACUUUGAGUAAAUUAGAGUGUUCAAAGCAGCCUCUUGGGGCACUGAAUAUAUUAGCAUGGGAUAAUAGAAUAGGACUCUUGUUCAUUUAUUGGUUUAUGAAUUUAGAGUAAUGAUUAAUAGGGAUAGUUGGGGGCACUUGUAUUCAAUAGUCAGAGGUGAAAUUCUAGGAUUUAUUGAAGACAAACUUCAGCGAAAGCAUUUGCCAAGGAUGUUUUCAUUAAUCAAGAACGAAAGUUAGGGGAUCGAAGACGAUUAGACACCGUCGUAGUCUUAACUAUAAACUAUGCCGACCAGGGAUAUGAGGAUUUUUAUUUAUACUAUUAAUUUAGUAUAAUUCCUUGUGCACCUUGUGAGAAAUCAUAAGUGUUUGGGUUCUGGGGGGAGUAUGGUCGCAAGGCUGAAACUUAAAGGAAUUGACGGAGGGGCACCACCAGGAGUGGAGCCUGCGGCUUAAUUUGACUCAACACGGGAAAACUUACCAGGUCCAGACAUUUGAAGGAUUGACAGGUUGAUAGCCCUUUCUUGAUUAAAUGGGUGGUGGUGCAUGGCCGUUCUUAGUUGGUGGAGUGAUUUGUCUGGUUAAUUCCGAUAACGAACGAGACCUCUGCCUUUAAAUAGAGAUGACUAUAAGAAAUUAUAGUUAGCAAAAACUCUUCUUAAAGGGACUUUUGGUUUUUAAUCCAAAGGAAGUUAGAGGCAAUAACAGGUCUGUGAUGCCCUUAGAUGUUCUGGGCCGCACGCGCGCUACACUGACAAGUUCAAAGAGCAAUUUUAUUAUGUCCUUCUCCGAGAGGAGUGGGUAAUCUUUUAAAGCUUGUCGUGAUGGGGAUAGAUGAUUGCAAUUAUUCAUCUUGAACGAGGAAUUCCUAGUAAGCGCAAGUCAUCAGCUCGCGUUGAUUACGUCCCUGCCCCU